UAGGGAAUCUUCCGCAAUGGACGAAAGUCUGACGGAGCAACGCCGCGUGAGUGAAGAAGGAUUUCGGUUCGUAAAACUCUGUUGUUAGGGAAGAAAAAAUGUAUAGUAACUAUAUACAAAAGAGACGGUACCUAACCAGAAAGCCACGGCUAACUACGUGCCAGCAGCCGCGGUAAUACGUAGGUGGCAAGCGUUGUCCGGAAUUAUUGGGCGUAAAGCGCGCGCAGGUGGUUUAGAAAGUCUGAUGUGAAAGCCCACGGCUCAACCGUGGAGGGUCAUUGGAAACUAAUAAACUUGAGUGCAGGAGAGAAAAGUGGAACUCCAUGUGUAGCGGUGGAAUGCGUAGAUAUAUGGAAGAACACCAGUGGCGAAAGCGACUUUCUGGUCUGUCACUGACGCUGAGGCCCGAAAGCGUGGGUAGCAAACAGG
rnacentral:rRNA from 1 species